rnacentral:rRNA from 1 species
UGGGGAAUUUUGGACAAUGGGCGCAAGCCUGAUGCAGCGACGCCGCGUGGAUGAAGAAGGUUUUCGGACUGUAAAAUCCUUUUCUGUGUGACGAGAGUGGACGGUAGCACAGGAAUAAGUCUCGGCUAACUACGUGCCAGCAGCCGCGGUAAAACGUAGGAGGCAAGCGUUAUCCGGAGUUACUGGGCGUAAAGCGCGUGUAGGUGGAUUGGUAAGUUACUUAUGAAAGCUCCUGGCUAAACUAGGAGAGGUUGAGUGAUACUGCCAGUCUUGAAUAGAGGAGAGGUUGACGGAAUUCCGCGUGUAGUGGUGAAAUGCGUAGAGAUGCGGAAGAACACCAGUGGCGAAGGCGGUCAACUGGCCUCAUAUUGACACUCAGACGCGAAGGCAUGGGUAGCGAAC